rnacentral:lncRNA from 15 species
GUGUGCUGCUGUAUGUGCAUUUGCUACUGGUCAUCAAGAUCAUCGUAUUAUCAGCGGCUGUGCUGCUUUUCUGCAGAGAGAGGGCAGGUAAACCCAAAGGAGGAGGACAGACAGAGCAGAUCUCCUCCUGAAGAAAUAUCUACAGUUUACACUUUCCACCGCAGACAGUUCUCAGGACAACACUUCCAGUAAACUCAUCUACUCUGAACGGUGCAGCUGCCUCGCUCGACAGCGCCCCCCGUGGUGAUGCAGAUACUGUUGUCUACUCUUUGCCAUUUGCUGGAAAAAGUAAAAAUAGGGUUUGAAAUGCAUAUUUAAGGCUUGUCUGUUAUCUGUCUGAACUCUCAGGAUUCAACAUUUGGACAGUGGGAUGUUUUCUUCAGUAGAAAAUAAAAUGUCUUCCCUCCAAAAGAGAUAAGCUCCUUUUGUAAAAAUAAUUAAAAAUAAUUCUUGAAAUAAGCUGUUUUUAUUAAAAACAUUUAUAGAACUUGAUAACAGACAAAACUGACAGUGAGAGGAGUUUUCUAGCAGUGUAGACACACUGUUUUUUGACUCCGCUGUGGAACAAGGACUAAUAAAUAAGGAAGGAAAGUUGGGUGAGGGUGUUGCUUGGAGGAGGGACUCCAUCAUUUAGAGAAGUGUAAAGUUCCUAAUUUUUCAGUGAAGACCGAAGAAAGGCAGCGAUAAACCAUCAGAACCUCCAACAUGAAGGUCUGUCACACUUUGAUCUGCGUCAUCUUCCUCUCACUGUGGGAUGGAAACACUGCCUGCUUCGUUGGUGACAGAAGAACACGAGUCUAUACAAGAACUGAAGGAGAAAACAUCAGAGCUUUGUGUCACUUUGAUUUCUCUUUGUCUGGAAGACAUAAGAUCUUCUGUAAGGGAGAAUGUGAAGAAAAAGACAUUCUCAUUGAAACAUAUGAGGACAGAGCUCAGAGUGGCAGAUACAGCAUCCAAUAUAAACACUUAGAUCCUCAACCAUUUAUUAUAUCUAUGGAUGUGAGCAUCACAAAGCUGACAAAGUCUGACUCAGGGUGGUACAGAUGUAAGGUGGACAGAUCUACAGAUUCUUACGAUGACUUUGAGCUCAGAGUUGAAGAUGGUGAGUUUCUACUGAGAGUCCUGAAAUGAAGUGUUCACUGACAGCUGCUGAUGUUUCUAAUAACCCAACAUGUUUAGUCUAACAAUUAUAUUUGGAGCUGCAUAUUUCCAUCAUUGUGAACACUGAUAAAUGCUCCUUUAAAAGCAACAGUUCAUCUGUAAAAUAUCU